rnacentral:siRNA from 1 species
UGGUGUCGAUCGAUACUGACGUGG